rnacentral:tRNA from 1 species
AUUUAAAUAGUUUAAUAGAAAAUAUUGAUUUGUGGGGUCAAAGAUACAGAGUUGUUUUAAAUA